rnacentral:snRNA from 1 species
GUGGUUACUGAAGCAGCACAUAUACGCAAAGAAGAAUGAAACAGAGAAGAUUGGACUGCACAAGGAUAGUAUUACAUAAAAUCAUUUUUUUUUCAUUUUU